UGGGGAAUAUUGCACAAUGGGCGCAAGCCUGAUGCAGCCAUGCCGCGUGUAUGAAGAAGGCCUUCGGGUUGUAAAGUACUUUCAGCGGGGAGGAAGGGAGUAAAGUUAAUACCUUUGCUCAUUGACGUUACCCGCAGAAGAAGCACCGGCUAACUCCGUGCCAGCAGCCGCGGUAAUACGGAGGGUGCAAGCGUUAAUCGGAAUUACUGGGCGUAAAGCGCACGCAGGCGGUUUGUUAAGUCAGAUGUGAAAUCCCCGGGCUCAACCUGGGAACUGCAUCUGAUACUGGCAAGCUUGAGUCUCGUAGAGGGGGGUAGAAUUCCAGGGGUGGCGGUGAAAUGCGUAGAGAUCUGGAGGAAUACCGGUGGCGAAGGCGGCCCCCUGGACAAAGACUGACGCUCAGGUGCGAAAGCGUGGGGAGCAAACAGG
rnacentral:rRNA from 1 species